UUAGCCCACAGACCACCCUAACAUCUUGCACUGUCUGGGGGCUCCCCGGGCUCAGGAACACCCACUUCUGUGGCCGGGAGCUGGGCUCAGCCACAUCCCUGCAACUUCUCCGGGACACCGCCAUCCAGCUACGCCGAGGCCUGACGGCGGCUCCAUGUUUCCUGCCAAUGGCCGUGCUAUUAACUUCUGCAUCUGAAAGGUGAGAGUGCAUGGGAUGGAAGAGGAUCUAGCGGGUGGACGUGAUCACAGCAGCUGCAUCCGGAAGGUCAAACGCUCAGAGCCAUAUGUGGCUCAAGGCUGCCAUGUUGCACAGUGCAAAUCCACAGAGCGUUUCAUCCAAUGGUAUUGCCCUUGAAGGUAGGCAUUCCACAGCCCGCUGCCCUGACGAGGAAAACACACAGAGCCUCCUCCUGACCCGCAACGCACAUGUGCUUCUGUUUUGUUUGCUGGUAACCACUUUAUAUUCCUCAUAUUGGCAAUUGAGGAAUACAAUGGAAAGAAGUGCAUAUCUUAUACUUUACUUAUGAAGAAGUCUCUAGGGAAGCCCCAAGACAAUAUGGGACAAAAACAAAAGCACAAGAGAAAUAUGAAGCAUCUGGCAUAUAUAGUUAGAAAAAAAUAAACACAACCCAAAUCCUAGCCAGAUUAACAAAGAAUCACACAGUAAAGACAUUUUUGCCUCCGUUUCUAUUAUCUGAUAAUUAUAUCUGGCUUUUGACAAGAUAAAAUACUAUGUGAUAAGCUAGAAAGUAAGAAAAAAUAGUCUAAAGAGACAAACAUGAAAAUGAACUCAGAUAUUGCAUGGAUUUUAGAAGUAUUAGAUAGAGUAUUUAAAGUAACUAUGAAUAAUAUGUUAAAGGCUCUCAUAGAAAAAGAAGGCAAUACUCAAAAUUGGAUGGACAAUGUAAUCAAAGAGAUAAAAAUGCUAAGAAAGAAUAAAAAGGAAAGGCUACAAAUCGAAACACUCUAAUAGGAAAUAAUGAAUGUUGUUGAUGGGCUCAUCAGUGGAAUGGAUUCUGCCAAGAGUCAGUGACUUAAAAAUGUGUCAAUAGGAAUGUCACAAUAAAAAUGACUGAAAAUUUUAAAACAAUAGGAAUUCGAGAACUGUAGAAAAAUUUCAACAGGUAUACGUAACAUAUGCACAGGGGAUGGAAAAAGAUAAUCCAUACUAAUACUAAUCAGAAUAAUACUGGACUAGAGAAAUUAGCUUAGGACAAAGGUGACUUCAGAACAAGAAAAAAUAUUCAGAGAUAGAUCGGGGCAGGACGGGGCAUUACAAGAUAGAUGGUUCAAUUAUUCAAUAAAGCAUAACAAUAGUAAACAUGGACAUACCUAACAACAGAGCAUCAAGUUAUAUGAAUCAAUACUCAAUAGGACUGAAAAGAUAGACGAAUCUACUACUACAGCUGGAGAAUUCAACACCUCCCCUUCACUAAUCAAGAGAUACGGCAGGCAGAAAAUCAAUAAGGACAUAGUUGAACAGAACCUGAACAGAACCAUCAACUUGCUCUAAUUGCUGUUUAUAAAAUACUCCAUGCAGCAAUAGUAGAAUACACAUUCUCCAACUCAUGGAACAUUAACCAAGAUGGACCACAUGCUCGACUGUAAAACACACCUUAAAAAUGUCAGAGAAUACACAGCAUAUGUUCCCAGAUCACACUGUAAUUGAUUGCAAAUCAAUAGCAGAACAAUAGAUGGAAAGAAAAAACCCGAAUAUUUAAAGAUUAAACAGUACACACUUAAAUACAGGAGUCAAAGAACUUUCAAGAUAAAUUGUAAAAUAUUUUGAGCUAGAUAAAAAUGAAAAUACAACUUAUCAAAAUUUGAGGGAUGUAGUAAAAGCAGUACUUAACAGGGAAAUUUAUGGCAUUAAAUGCACAUCAUAAAAAAGUAAAGAUAUAAAAUUAAUAAUCUAAGCUUCCGCCUUAGGAAGAAGAAAAGAAGAGCAAUUUAAGGCCAGAAUGAUCAUCUGGACAUGGAUUAGGAGUGGAGAAACCAGUGUGCACUCAUGUGGUCCUCAACAUAGGUUCCAUAAAGACAUAUUUAUAGAAAUAUGUAUGUACAUGUGUAGAUUCCUGCUCUGUCACUCACUAGGGCUAAAAGCAAUGACAUCCCAAUAUCAAAGAUAACAUGAAAUACCCAGAUCUUUGCUUCAAUUGCUAAUCUCCAGUAAAAGGAACCAGGGCUCCCCAGAGAAAUUGUGGAUUCCAGGAGUAGAACAGGAAAUAGACAAGGUAAGCUGGGGGCACCUUGUAGAGCUAGAAAAUUAAUAACUGCUGAAAAAAUAAAAAUGAACAGCCACAUUGCCAGGGCACAUCAGGGCCACAGGAGCCAAUGGAAAGAUCUGGCCUGCAACUGAAACUGAAAAGAUUAAACAAUAAUGACAACAAAAAGCAGCAUUGGCUCAUAAUCCAAUUAUAAAAUAAAUACCUAUGAGUUUAUCGUGAUAUGAACUAAUGGGUAAAUAUGUAAAUAUUUAACAGACAAAUCUCCCUUGCAGAGGAAUUCCAAAUAAAGUUGCAGACUCCAUGUUCUUAGGGGAAGAGAGCGUAACUCCUGCUGCUUAAGUGAAGCCCAUGCAUAGUGACUUUGCUCCAGUGAGUCUGGAAAGCGGGACAAGGGAGUAACUUUCCUGUGGAGAAAACUGGCAGAGGCCACGACCGCCAGGUGAGGCGGGUGCUGCAGUGAUGAGUCAUUGACAGAAGGCGCCUUGACAGGGUGUAAUAAAAAUAGCACUUUACUUCUAUGGUCUUCUUCCCCAAAUUCCAUAAUCCCAAUUGGAUCAUCAGAAAAACCCCAACUGAGAGAAAUUCUACAGCAUGCCUGACCAUUACUCUUCAAAACUAUCCCAAUCAUCGAAAAUAAGGAAAAUCUGAGAAACUGCCAGCAGAGAGGGGUCCAGGGAGAUGUGACGGCUGCAUGCACAGCGGCAUCCCGGACGGGGUCCUGGAACAGAAAGAUAACAUCAGGUUAGCAACUAAGGAAUCCCGAAUAGGCUAUGGAUAUUAGUCAAUGAUUACUAUUACGCAAACAUAUGAUCAUUAUGUCAAGAUGAGGAACAAAUUUCCCAUCUUGUCAAAUAAUUUAUUGAGCACAUUUAUCAAUUGUUAAGUCUGUCUGAUAGCUUUGUUUGAUUUCUGAUCUCCUGAUGUUUGAUUUUGAUUGAGAUUGAAUGUCCUGAUUGUGGUGAGUCAGUGCAGUCUCUGUGUGUGCUUGGUGACAUCUGAGUGAAUGUCACACGACUGUGUAAAUGAUAGCAGAGAUAAUGGGGGCUCCGGAUGAUACAGUCUUUUCCCAAAGCGGAGCCAUUUGACGCUGGCUGGUGGCCCAGCUAGAGGCAGAUGACGCCUGCUCACCUAGGGACUGAGGUCACCCAGCUGUGUCUCAGCCUCUCUUUGAGGGCACCCUUCUUCUUACUAACCCGUGCUCCUGGGGGUCACAUAUGGAGCUCCAGCUUCAGCCCCUUGAGAUUAAAAUCAGUUUCUGUUCCUCUUCUCUCCCGGGCCAGCCUCCACUACAUCCCUGGCCGCACCAGCCACCAGGGAUUUGGUCUUUAUGGGGAAAGACAGGAAGAGUAUUUAAGACAUUUAAAGUAGAAAAUACUUUUGGCCUUGAGGAAAAAUAUUAAGGCUCUGAGAAAGAAAAAUAGCCUUAGAUUCCUGAUGACACUGACUUCCCAAAAAUGGCAAAUGUUGUGUGGAGAAGGAGAGAGAUCUUCCCCGUGAGCUGGCAGGACCGUCCGUCAUGUGCGCAAUGCCUUGGACGCAGUGUGAGAAGUGGGUAAAUUCUGUGGCACACACCAGUGAUUUGAACAACAAUUUAUGGCUCUCUCCCCUCUCUCUUUAUUUUUUCUUUACAGUUUUAUUCCCUCUGGUUCAUAGUACCCUUUUUUCUAAAACUAAUGUGAUUUUUGAAACAACAGAUGUGAUAAACCAAGAUUAAAUUAUGUUCCCAAAUUUAAAAAAAGUUUGAGGAGAAAGUAGUUUCAUAAUCAAUGUUUGAUAAGCACAAUUAUUUUUUAACAUGUAAGACGAUACCAACUUAAAUCUAGACAGUACAUUAAAGUUUAAAAGUUCAGUUUGUAGGAGUGUAUCAAUAGUUAAAUUAAUAAUUUAAAAGUCUCUUUAUUUCUGGCAUAAUAUUCUAUUUUUAUUUUCACUUGUAAAACAUACUAUAAUUUUGUAUGCAGAAUGUAAGGUACCAAUACCUUUGUUGAGUUUUGAAAAUAUUUAUUAAUUAAGGAAUAUCAAUAUAUAAAAUUAUCUUCUAAAUAAGCUUUAUGUUGAUCAAUAAUUUCUGGAUCAAAUUAACUUUAAGCAAAUGAGAAAUAUGUACAGCUGUCACAGUGUAAUAAAUUAAAAAAUGAUCAUUUCAUUGAUUUGAGUCAACUAGCUAUUUUCUGCAUAGUUUAUAAUGUACAGAAGGUGGAAGAUGCAUGUCUGAUACAUUUCCUGGGAAUAAAUGUAUCAUCUCUGAAGCUAUUAUGGCUCUAAUAAGGAACUCCUCAUGUUUGCUUUGGAAAUCCCACUUAAGAUGAAGAGAGUUUUUUCUUUCCUCCAGUGUGAUCAGCAGUGCUGGUGAUUACCAGGCUUCUCAUGCCUGUUUCUAACAGACCAACACUUUUCUAGGAAGUGCUAAGCAACUUGAAUCUCACUCCUGGAACACAAGCCCCAGCCAUAUGGAUAACAAACAUUUAUCCUAUUCAUAUGGGAAGUCAUAGGAACACAUGGUUUCCUAACCUGGACAUCAAGGUCUUUGGAGGAAUCUUGCAGCCUGUUCCUGGCAGCUUUCUCUCCCCUCCUUCCUAGGCCACCAGAGCUGGCAGGGAGCCCAGUGGGAAGGUGGCAUUUCUGCUCAGCAAGCAACUGAGAGAAGCCUGCCCUUGGCAAUAGAAAGUUCUAACGAGGACCCAGGUUUUUAGACAGCUAGAGUCUCUGUGUUUCUUCUGAUUGUGGUAGGAAAUAAAGCCAGGAAAAAUAAGUCUUUAUAAAAACAGCAUGGGUGUUUUUGUGAUAGAUUUCCAACGGGUAAAAAAGGUAACUACGUUAGAAAUGUGAGCCUGGCAAGAGGGAAAAGCUGGCAUUAAGGACCUGCCGAAAUUCUGAAUUAACUUUCUUUUCUAUGCCAGAGUGAAUUUAAAAUAGAUAUAUAAAUGUCUGUUUCAUUUAUAUUCUUUAGUGAAAGGCAAAUACAUAAGCAAAAUAAAAUUUAAAAUACUACUAUUGAAUAAACAAUUUGAAUACCACUAUGAAGUAAGACAUAAUAGAUUAUUGAAGAAAAGGAAGCCUGGACCCUCCUGUAAAGUAAGUGGAGGAGGCUGCAGAGAGAAGGAUCUCUCGCCAAACUGCAGGAGAAAAGCAUAGCCCUCCAGCAGGAAAUGGAAGAUGGUGAUUUCAGGACAUUUGUCAGCUAAAGCUUUCACAAAACAGCUUUAUGCAGCCUUUUGAAUAAAUGCUCUGCGUGGUUGUGUGGAGGAGAUAUUAUUAGGAGGGCCUGAACUCUUAAAAUAAUGAAAUUGAGUUUACUGUAACUUUGUAGAGGUAAAGGAAAUAAAAAUAUGCUUCUAUAAGUUAUAUGGGAAAGAGAACUUCAAAAUCAAGAGAAAGAGAAGUUUUAACUUCCUUACCUCUAUUUGUUUAGGCUGUCUUGUGGAGGUCGGUAUUAUUACACACUACAUUAAACAUCUUGCACAGAAAAACAAAGUCAGCAUAUUCUCUGUCAGCCAAUGGAAGAGAGUGGAGUAAACCAGUAAUUCCUUAACACACAUGCUUUAAAACAGCAAACUAUUAGACACAAUGUGGAGUAUGUUUAUGGUCUGUUACAUUUUAUGAAAUGGUUUUGUUUAUUUUUUAAAUACUUGUCAUGUUAGCAAUCUCCUGAUCAGAUGGUACAUUUAAAAGCCCAGAACAAAAUACACAUGGAAUGAUCAUCUUCUCUAGGAGCAACGAAACCCAGGCUUUCUGGUUUAUUUCUAUCCUUUCAUUAAUGAAAUCAUUACAGUUUUGUUAGGUCUAAUUCAAAGACCAAGAAGAAGGCAUUUGGAUGGAAAAUAAAGGGAGCAAGUUUUGUGUCUUUUUAAUGUGUUUUCUACAGCCAGGACCAAGCCCUUGAAAGCAAACUUCGACAAAGAAGUGUAAUUUCAUAAUAAAGAAAAGAAAGAACCCUGUAAAUACCUAAUUCCAGACUUUGCUUUGUCAUAAAGUCAGUGAUCUUCAUGCACCCAAUUUCACGUACAAAUUCCCAUUUCUUACGUAUAACUCCUUUCUAUUUACUGUUGAGGUCGUCUCCUGAUGUGGUUAAAAAUACAUGACUCUGUAACUAUGAUUUUUCUCAUGAUGAAAGUGAGAUGCAGGACAAGUCAGCUGUUAUUACGGGAUAUAUACGGAUGUGCUGGGAUGGAGUCCUCCACAAGAAAUCACGGGGGCAGAGCACGCUCUUAAGUCUCGGAGCUUCUUACCUGAGAAUGUUGAUUCCGAGUCGCUACAGUGGCUUCCAGGAGUUGUCAACUUUUAAAAAAUUGGGUUCCACUAUUCCAAAUCCUGGUCUCCUUCUUUGUUGAGAGAGAAGGAAGGCAGAUGGCAAGCAUGACGUGCGGGCUUCUGUAGGGGCUCUUGCUGUGGGGUAACCCUUGAUAAAAUAAAAACUUCAGCCAAAUUAAAUUUAAAAGUCUUUGAGCAAUGAAUGAAUUGCGAACCAGGCUGCCUUCUGAGUCAGAGUAGGUUCAGAGGCUCCAGCACAACCAUUUGGUGGAAGAAGAUUUAUGGACAUUGAAGGGACAUUGGAUUGGUUAUGGCUCAGCAUUUGCCUUAUUUGAACACAGUUUGAACAGUUGGCUAUGUUUGAUUGGCCGAAACUCAGUGACUGGCACAAGUGUAAGCUACAGUCUACUUACACCUCUCCUUGUUAUGGUUCAUGAUGUGCAGAAAAACCCUUAGGCCGAACUUAAAAUAUGUAAGGAGGCAGCUUUAGGCUAAACUUGAUUUAACACCCUCAAGAUACCCGAGUCUCUUGCAGAUUUGAGUCAGGAUGGCUUCAGCCUAAGGAAGAGCUUGCUGGGCUCCUGGUAAGCGUGGGAGGUUGGAGGAGCCGCUGCCUGGGGUAAGUGUGGGAGGUUGGAGGAGCCGCUGCCUGCAGUGCACAGUGUGUAGGUGUCCAGCUGAAUCUUCUCAGAUACUGUUAUGGGAUUUAGGGGGGUGUCGUUUUUCUGGCUGGAAACCUCUGUGGCUGGUGGGGCCUUUGCCUGAGUUUUGCUCUGGCCUGCUGAGCUCUUUUCGCCCACUCUGCCUGGCAGGCUGCACUUGGCUCACACUACCAGCCUCGGUAGUUGAGAGGGCAAUAUUGCUCACCUGUGACUCUGGGUGGUAUUUUCCCGCCAGCCGGUGCUGCAGGCCCCAGAGGCCGUGGUGUCAGGAGGGCCAUGGCACAGGGGCUGCGUGGGGAGGUUCUGAACCAUGGAACGUGGGCAGAAGUGGCGUAGCCAGUGCCAGGCCCUUUCCACUUUCUGUACCAUCUUCCAGCCCUCUUCCUCCUAUAGAGACAGCCGUGAAAACCUCGGGAGGCCUUGCAGACCCAGACUGGAUGUGUCAUGAGCCAGAAAAGGCAUGACGCCACUGAGACCCCGGUCUUUCCCUAUUUCCACAGCCAAUAUAAAUUACCCUCAGCAAGACGACACCAUGGAGAAAUGCUUCCACCAGGCACAGAAAUGGUUCCGGGGGCUAGAGAUUGAGAUGGUCCCCAACCACUGUGCAGUUCUAAGCACUUCAGGGCCCAGAGAACAAAGGGGCUAAUAGCGGGCCCAGGUGACCGUGAGAGAAUGGAGUUGUUGCUGCCCGAGGGAAGAGAGGACUGUCUCCCAUGCCCAGAGGCCCCGUGGGAGUGGUCCUAGCAUGCCUGUCCAGGAUAAAAGCCAAUAGAGGCCCACACAAGCCCCAGGCAGGAGAGACCCCCAUGGGAGCAGCCGCUGAAGAUGGAGAGUCCGAGAGCUGCGAGGCUGAUGGGGGGCCCAGGGGAAGCGUGGAGCAGCGUGUGAAUUCCAUCUGGGGCCCCCGCGCGGGUGCAGGCAUGGCCCUGCGGCGCCAGAUCUGCGUCCUGAUCUUGGAACUGAGCUGGAGAUGCGGGGCGUGGAAAAGGCCAGGGCAGCCGUCCUCUCCCGACUGGCUUCUGAUUGCAGCUGAGACCGCUGACACCGGUGUCUGGCGUUGCUCCUGAAAUCCUGACUCUCGAAAUCCACCGCACGCCUUUCUGCAUAGAGCAGCGAGCCUGCUUCUGGGUCAGCCUCUGAGCCAGUGUGCUUUAUUGCAAGCGUUAGAAACAUGACUUCUAACAUUGCAGUUAAAGGAGGAAUGAUAUAUUUCAGUGAAGAAUCCCAGCUCAACGGGGCUCUUCUGAGAACUGCAGAAAACAGCUCUGGGCUCCUCCCUCGGAGCACCCGCCCAGCUUCCCUCUCCUGGCACAAAACCUCGAUGCAAGCGGCGUGCGCCACAGUCCCAGGGUUCUCUGGCUUGUUUGUAAAUCUGUCAGCUGAGGCUACCAGCAAGUUCAGAACGAGUGCUGAACGCGGGGUACAGUGCGGCCACAGACACCCAGUGAGGGUGAGUCUUGUCUGGCAGAGAAGGGCGAGGCUGGGACGUGGCAGCCGGACUCAGCUUGACCACAAAUCUCUGCCCAGCGAAGGCUGCCAUGCCACUGAAUCCUGGGAAGAAAGCAAGACAAAUGCCUAAACUGGAAGGAGUAAAGGUGCCCUGCAAGAGUCUUGCUCUGUCACCCAGGCUGGAGUGCAAUGGCACAACCUCAGCUCACUGCAACAUCCACCUCCUGGGUUCAAGCGAUUCUACUGCUCCAGCCUCCUGAGUAGCUAGGAUUAUAGGCACACACCACCACACCCAGCUAAUUUUUGUAUUUUUAGUAGAGACAGGGUUUCACCAUGUUUGCCAGGCUGCUCUUGAACUCCUAACUUCGUGAUCUGCCCACCUCAGCAUCUGCCCACCUCGGCCUCCCAAAGUGCUAGGAUUACAGCUGUGAGCCACCGUGCAUGGCCAACUCUGUGUAUUUUUAAUAGAACAAGUGCUAUAUACAUAUUGAUACUCAAAACUUCAGCAUAAAAUAAAGGGCCAAGAUAUACGUGGAAACUGCAAAAAGCUAACGGAAAAAGGUGUGGGGAUGCGUUCAUUUCCUGUGGCUGCUGCCAAAUUACCAAAAACUUAGUGGCUGAAAACAACCCAGACGGCCCCACAGUGCUGCCUGUCAGAAGGCUGAAGGGCUGCACUGGCUGAAAUCCGCAGGUCACAGGCUUGGUCUCUCUGUGGUCUCCCCGUGGUCCAUUUGUGUUCUCUCUGUGGUCUCUCUGAGGUGUCUCUGAGGUCGGCUGGUGGUCUCUCUGAGGUCUCUCUGUAGUCUCUUCAGCAUCUCUCUAUGGUCUCCUCAUAGUCUGUCUGUGGUUUCCUUGUGGACUCCCUGUGGUCUCUCUCUCCAAAGUCUCUCUGUUAUCUCCUCAUGGUCUCUCUGAGGUCUCUCUGUGGUCACCCUGUGGACUCCCUGUGGUCUCUGUGAUUGCUCUGAGGUGUCUCUGUGGUCUCUCCAAGGCAUCUCUAUGAUCUCUCUGAGGUCUCCCCAUGGUCAGAAAAUUCAA